rnacentral:rRNA from 1 species
UGCAGUCGAGCGGAAGGCCCUUCGGGGUACUCGAGCGGCGAACGGGUGAGUAACACGUGAGCAACCUGCCCUAGGCUUUGGGAUAACCCUCGGAAACGGGGGCUAAUACCGAAUAUUACUUGACCUCGCAUGGGGUUGGGUGGAAAGUUUUUCGGCCUGGGAUGGGCUCGCGGCCUAUCAGCUUGUUGGUGGGGUGAUGGCCUACCAAGGCGACGACGGGUAGCCGGCCUGAGAGGGCGACCGGCCACACUGGGACUGAGACACGGCCCAGACUCCUACGGGAGGCAGCAGUGGGGAAUAUUGCACAAUGGGCGGAAGCCUGAUGCAGCGACGCCGCGUGAGGGAUGACGGCCUUCGGGUUGUAAACCUCUUUCAGCAGGGACGAAGCGUAAGUGACGGUACCUGCAGAAGAAGCACCGGCCAACUACGUGCCAGCAGCCGCGGUAAGACGUAGGGUGCGAGCGUUGUCCGGAUUUAUUGGGCGUAAAGAGCUCGUAGGCGGCUUGUCGCGUCGACCGUGAAAACUUGGGGCUCAACCCCAAGCCUGCGGUCGAUACGGGCAGGCUAGAGUUCGGUAGGGGAGACUGGAAUUCCUGGUGUAGCGGUGAAAUGCGCAGAUAUCAGGAGGAACACCGGUGGCGAAGGCGGGUCUCUGGGCCGAUACUGACGCUGAGGAGCGAAAGCGUGGGGAGCGAACAGGAUUAGAUACCCUGGUAGUCCACGCUGUAAACGUUGGGCGCUAGGUGUGGGGGGCCUCUCCGGUUUCCUGUGCCGCAGCUAACGCAUUAAGCGCCCCGCCUGGGGGAGUACGGCCGCAAGGCUAAAACUCAAAGGAAUUGACGGGGGCCCG